UACGUAGGUGGCAAGCGUUGUCCGGAUUUACUGGGCGUAAAGAGCGCGCAGGCGGUUGGAUAAGUCGAAUGUGAAAGCCCCUGGCUCAACCAGGGAGGGUCAUUCGAUACUGUUCGACUCGAAGGCAGGAGAGGGAAGUGGAAUUCCGGGUGUAGUGGUGAAAUGCGUAGAUAUCUGGAGGAACACCGGUGGCGAAGGCGGCAUCCUGGACCGGCAUUGACGCUGAGGAGCGAAAGCCAGGGGAGCAAACGGG
rnacentral:rRNA from 1 species